UACGGAGGGUGCAAGCGUUAUCCGGAUUCACUGGGUUUAAAGGGUGCGUAGGUGGGUUUGUAAGUCAGUGGUGAAAUCUCCAAGCUUAACUUGGAACUGCCGUUGAUACUAUAAAUCUUGAAUGUUGUGGAGGUGAGCGGAAUAUGUCAUGUAGCGGUGAAAUGCUUAGAUAUGACAUAGAACACCAAUUGCGAAGGCAGCUCACUACACAAAGAUUGACACUGAGGCACGAAAGCGUGGGGAUCAAA
rnacentral:rRNA from 1 species